GACGAACGCUGGCGGCGUGCCUAAUACAUGCAAGUAGGACGCAGUUGCGAACGGGUGAGUAACGCGUAGGUAACUACCUAUUAGAGGGGGAUAACUAUUGGAAACGAUAGCUAAUACCGCAUACUAGUAGAUGGACCUGCGUUGUAUUAGCUAGUAGGUAGGGUAAUGGCCUACCUAGGCAACGAUACAUAGCCCACCUGGGAAGGUGGUCGGGCAAACUGGGACUGGGGAAAGGCCCAGACUCCUACGGGAGGGAGCAGUAAGGAAUCUUCGGCAAUGGGGGGAAACCUGGCCGGGCAACGCCGCGUGAGUGAAGGAGGGUUUCGGAUCGUAAAGCUCUGUUGUUAAGGGAGCGGUACUUAACCAGAAAGGGACGGCUAACUACGUGCCAGCAGCCGCGGUAAUUC
rnacentral:rRNA from 1 species